GAAUCUUGCGCAAUGGGCGAAAGCCUGACGCAGCGACGCCGCGUGAGGGAUGAAGCUUCUCGGAGUGUAAACCUCUUUCGACCCGGACGAAACGCCCGCGCAAGCGGGACUUGACGGUACGGGGAGAAGAAGCCACGGCUACCUACGUGCCAGCAGCCGCGGUAAAACGUAGGGGGCCAGCGUUGCUCGGAAUUACUGGGCGUAAAGGGUCUGUAGGCGGGGCGGUAAGUCGGGAGUGAAAUCUCCAGGCUCAACUUGGAGGCUGCUUCCGAAACUGCCGCGCUCGAGUGUGGGAGAGGCGAGCGGAAUUGCAGGUGUAGCGGUGAAAUGCGUAGAUAUCUGCAGGAACACCAGUGGCGAAGGCGGCUCGCUGGACCACAACUGACGCUGAGAGACGAAAGCUAGGGGAGCAAACAGG
rnacentral:rRNA from 1 species